UACGUAGGGGGGCUAGCGUUGUCCGGAAUCAUUGGGCGUAAAGAGCGUGUAGGCGGCCCGGUAAGUCCGCUGUGAAAGUCCAGGGCUCAACCCUGGGAUGCCGGUGGAUACUGUCGGGCUCGAGUCCGGAAGAGGAGUGUGGAAUUCCUGGUGUAGCGGUGAAAUGCGCAGAUAUCAGGAGGAACACCAAUGGCGAAGGCAGCACUCUGGGACGUGACUGACGCUGAGACGCGAAAGCGUGGGGAGCAAACAGG
rnacentral:rRNA from 1 species